rnacentral:rRNA from 1 species
UCUGGCUGGAUGCUGUUGUGCUGGCCCUUUGGUGCAAUGUGCACACACUUCUGGUUGUCUGUUUCUUCUGUUCCACCUGUGCACUGCCUGUAGACACUCUGUGUCUAUGAUAUUGGUUACACACACAUGAUGUUUUGCAUAUUGGUUACAUAUGUAUGAUAAUAUACAACUUUCAACAACGGAUCUCUUGGCUCUCGCAUCGAUGAAGAACACAGCGAAAUGUGAUAAGUAAUGUGAAUUGCAGAAUCCAGUGAAUCAUCGAAUCUUUGAACGCAUCUUGCGCUCCUUGGCAUUCCGAGGAGCAUGCCUGUUUGAGUGUCAUUAAACUAUCAAAGCACCUUUCCUGGGGUGUUUUGGACUUUGGGAGUAUUUUGCUGGCCUGUUUGAGCCAGCUCUCCUCAAAAGCAUUAGCUUUGGAGACCAUCAGUGUGAUAACUCUCUUUACACUGACUGAGUGUGUCUCUGCUUCUUAAAUAUGCUGGACACCCUUUGACCUCAAAUCAGGUAGGACUACCCGCUGAACUUAAGCAUAUCAAUAAGCGGAGGAA